rnacentral:lncRNA from 14 species
GCGAUCCAGAUGAACUGUCUGGAGAACAGGAUAUCAGGCAACUACUCUUUGUUUGCAGCGAUCUGGAGGAAAGGAGAAUCCCCCUUGAUAAUGCUACCGCGGUUGAUAAGGACAUUCAGAAAUCUUGACCCUGCAAUUGUGUUUUGUUUUUUGUCUGAAGCUCACCCUUCCCUGUAUGACCUGUCUGAACAAGUGACUUUUAAUCACGCCUAGGAGACACCCAGGAAGAUAUGACUUGGGACCUGAUUUAUUUUGGAUGAAAUACGCUGCCAGAUGCCAGCUUGAAAGACAGGAAUAUAUGUUGGAUCCCACUAUACAAGCAACACUGAGGCAGAAAUGAGGCACUUGGGUUAAAUGUCAUCCUCAGCCUCAGACACUGAAAAAUCUUAGUUAAAAUCUGUGUUUCCCUUUCAUUGUGAGAGUAUCUAAGCCACUGCCCCUCUGAACUGCACUGCAGCAAUCAACCCAAAACUCCGGAUCCUUGAUUUUCAGGCAUUUAGUUAUGCUUCUGGUACCUGCUUCCUGGUCUGCUAGUAUUCUCAUCUAAAACUUUUAUUUUUAAUUCCUUGGAAGAAGACUCAAAGCCACAGAAUUCCCAUAUCUCCCAAGUGAUGCCAGCUAUGAGGCUAGACAUGGUUUUCCACAAUUAAACUAAAUUCUUCACCUCAUACAGCUACAAGAUGAAUGAGAAAUGUCUAUGCUCUUAUAGAUAGGACAGAUGCAAGUGUAAGCCACCAGCCAGUGGGCUAAGAUAAUUUGACUAUAUAGCCAAUUCUUCACUUGAGACAAACCCUGUGCUCUGUGGACCAUAUGAUCCAAAGCAGGUACUGGGCCAUAUUACUCAUGUAAGGUGAAGACAGCUUCCCACAGAGUUAUCCAUCAGGUGCCUAAACUGUAGCUGAUGAGAUGGGAUUUCAUGUGCUCCUCUAUUCCUAGCAUUCUUUGUUAGCCCAUUCUGUACAGCUUUGUGCUUUUAACUGUGCCCUUUUCUUCUGUGUAUGCACUGUAUAGGAAACCUGGGCACUUUAGGCUGAAUUCUGGAUUCCAGUCCAGACUGACUGGUGUUGCCUCUAGUUUGCAAUAGCUUUCAUUCUUUAUUUUCUUGCAACCUCAUCAUUUUAUGUGGUGAGAAUAUGUGAUUUCCCCCCCUCCCCCCCCCCAGGUAGGUUCACACUGCUACAGUUAUCCCUGCCUUUUUCACUUCAGGAUUAGAUUUCUCUUGAGCUCUUGUCUUGGACUUUCCUCCUGAAAAUCAUCCUUCAAUAUACUUCUCUAUCAGAGAACAUUGUGCCUGUGAUUUAUGAUUGGCAGAGAUUCUCAGUUCUGUCCUAGGGCCAACACAAAAUAUUGGCUUUGUCUGAUGAUCUAAAAUCUUGUCCCAAUAAAUGCCUCUCUCCUCUUGUCA